GACCGUCAUCUGCUAUCGGGUACUGUAUUCAUUGGCCGUGGUGUUGUUCCAGCUGAAUUCUGAACUGAUACUAAAGUCUCUGAUACUUUUCAAGUGUCCUCGUUUGCCAUUCCUGAUACAGGCGCGUAUCAGUGCCAAAGUAUCAGGUUGAUACUUUUCGACCCACCUCUAAGCAGCAGAGGCAUUUGGGAAAUGUUCCGGGAGAUCGUCUUCGUUUCCGUGAUUCGUGUAUGUUUACGUGUCAUUGUGAAACGGUCCUAAGGCUUCUUUGAUCAUAUUGGGCUGGUUUAACAUAAGUAUUAAACAAUAUAUGUACUUUCUAACAAUCGAUACCUAGUUUCAUAACACAGUGAUGAGCCGAUGGCAAGCAAAUACCCCAAGAUAACCGAGCCACGUUGCGUGGCUGCCGGAGCGGUACCUGGGAGCAGAGCGAGGCCUCUUCGUGGAAGUAGCCCCGCACGAAGUCGCAGUACUCCUUGGUGGUGAUGCGGCACAUGCCGUGGAUGCCGAUGCAGCACGGGUGCCCGAUCACCUCGCACACCAUGUGCUCGGCGAUCUUGUCCUUGUAGGGCGUCCGCUGCUGCGUCCGGGAGUUGGUCUUGCGGCAGAUGGGCCACUUGGUGAUGUCGUCGGGCCACUCGUAGGGCGCCACCGACGCAGGUGCCUCGCAGAACCUGCGCCACAGUCCGGCGUCGAGAGUUCCUUGUCUUUCGUAGAGCUCACCGAAUCGCUAGUUACUAGGGACACGAUCAUGUGGUGAAUUGCGAUAAAACAGAAAUAACACUGGAAAGCACGUCAGUAUACCAUAUACCUAAAACUGAAAUUCAAUUUAACACACCACAAUGAAAUGCAACUAAAAAUUAUGAAAAUAAACUUUCAAUCAAAACUUUACAUUAAUGAUGAAUACUUAAAUGUCUAAAAAUCAAAUCCAACGAAGAUAAUUUAUUUACAAUGAUGUUUGUACCACAAUUUAAUAAAAAAAGAAAGAUUGGUAAAGUUUACUAUUUUUUAUCUUGCAACUGGUAACAGUUACUCAUUUUUUACAAUAUACCUUAAGAACCUUUUUCAAACACAGAAUUACUUAUAGGAUUUAUUUCAUAUGUACCGAAAAGUUAGACAUGCUUAUUAGAAAUUAUAAUAUUGAAAACGUGCAUCAUGUAGGUAUCAGUCAAAAUGACAUUGUUUUGGAGAAAUUAGUAUCAUGGAAUCUUUAAGUAACCUAAUUUGUUCAGUAAUAUGCGAUAUUUUUCAAUAAACAUAUUUCACAAAAACUAAAAACAAUAAAACCAUAAUCUCCUGUUUUAAAAACAAAAUUGGCCUGAAAAUAAAACCACAAAAUCUUGUCUACUAAUUACAAAAUUGCCAGUUUAAGCAGGGCCAGACAUACGCUGCAAGCAAGGGGAACUGAUUAAUUAAUCAACCAUGGCAUCCACCAGGAGUGUUAUCGGAAAACCACGGAAAACUGAAACUAGCAUCGAUGCAUCAGGAUUCGAACCAGCUUAGUCAGGGAUGGCUUAUUUAUAAGCUAAAAUUAAGGUUAAAUCUCACGCACCGUGUUCAAAAUUUUUUCAUCAUUACUUUUAUUAAGGGCUAUUCUUGAAAUUUUAACUCAGUGCAUCUUUUGCAUUUGCUAUUCUGCCACAAAUUUUUUCAAGAGAAAAUUUAUUUAGUGUAAUAUGGGUGUAAAAAGUAGCGCAAGUGAUAAUAAUUACAAAAACUUGUGCGCCUUGUGACACCCAUGAUAUUACACUAAUUGAAUAUCUAUUGAAAAUUUUUGUGACAGAAAUAGAAAUGCAAGUAAGGUAUUGUUUUAAAAUUGUAGAAAUAACCCUUAAAUAAAGGCAAAAAUGAAAAAAUCAACAUUACACCAAAGACAGAGCCUCAUUAUGUUACUACUAAAAUUGCCCCACAAUUCCAUGCCUUCCUUGGGAUUCAAACCCAGUAACCUUCCCAGCAAACUAACUGUGCUACGGAGGCAUGCUGUUCUAAAUCUGUGCCAAGAUAUUUAAAGUUGUGCAAGUGGUAGGUAUAUGUUGUUGCAAGCCAGUGGGUUUUCUCCAGAUGUUUUUGUCUACCCCUACAAAAUACAAUCUGUCAAUGAUUAAAUUUUACCUUGCAUAUUUCUCAGUUGAGGGUCUUCAUUUCAGAAACUGAAAUAGGGGAAGUCAAAUUAAGUAGGGUAGACCGGGGGAAAUCGGGUCAAUUUUUUGAAAUUCCUGAAUAAGUAUAAAAUCAAUAUUAAUUUACCAUAAAAUAAUGUACAGUAAUAUCAGUCAUACAUUUAUGUACAUAUUUACAUACAAACAUUAGCCAAUCUUCCUUACGAAUUGACAUUAAACUUGAUAAAAGGAAAAUGAAAUGUUUUGACCCGAUUUGGACAGAAGUGGGGUAAAUCGGAUCACAAGUGGGGCAAAUCGGAUCAACAGAUUUUCUUUACUGUUUUGACAGACACAUUCCGCAUAAAAACUGUUUACACUGAAAAGCAUUGACACAGCGCUCAUGGUACCACAUUUUACAAGACUGGCACUGAAUUCAGUCUCCAGCAGUGCAGCUUCUGAUGUCUUUGUAUGCAAUUUUGCACAUGUUGCAAAGAACAUCUUCCUCAUCAUCCUGGCCUUCUUCCAAAAUUUCCAACUCGGAUGUGUUUUUAGUUUUUGUUCGCUUCUUCGUCUUCAGAGGUUCAAUUUAGCUUUGCUUUGAACUUAAUUUAACACCUGCUUCUUGCUUUUCAAUUUCCUGGAUUCCAACAAUGUGCGAUUCUCUUUUGACAGUAGCCUUAGAGAAGCAACAGUUUUUCGUUCACCGAUUCUUUUUGGUGUUAAUUUUUCCGGUGUUGGUAACAGGCAUCUCACUUCUUCUGUGGUGCUCCUUCCACUUACAUCUUUGGCAGUGAACUCGUAAUUCUAUAUUUACAUGGAUAAUAUUUUCAUUAUUUUAACAUGUCCUAAACUUCAAUAUUAUUAUAAGUACUUACAAAUUUUAACUAAAGUUGAAGUCAUGUGCCUUAAGAGGCCGUGUCACAAAUUUGUGUUCCUAUCUAUAUCAAUGUUAUUUUAAAAGGCAGUUUUUCUCAAAGUCUAUAAGAGGUAGGGGCUGGAAAUUUUGCCUACUGAAUGUAUACAAUACAUUUAACAUAACCGCUUUUUUCAAAUUUAGUUAUCAUAUCAUAUAUAUUAUUUCUGUGAUGAAAAUAAUAUUAUCAAUAUUUUGAUUUGUCCAGAUAAAGUGAAAUUUUGCUUAUAUUUAUAAUUAUUUAGCAAAAACUGAAAAGACCAUUGAAAUGUAUUGCACAUUACGUUUUGAUCAGUGUCUUCAUGAUCAUGAUGGGUUUAAAAACCUGGGUGUAAUCAAGUCUUUAACUAUUACAUGACAACAUUUAUACUUAAUAAUUUGGAGAUAGGCCUUUUUCAUCCUCAGCCCCUGAGCUUUUACUAUCUGGUCUGGCAAUCGACCUGACACUCUUCAACCACCCCAGGGGUCUCCGAUUGCACAUCCCAUCAAAAAAAAAAGCUGUUCGUUCAUUUGUUUUUGUGUUCGAGCGAAGGUUUACUUCUCCACAAGUGCCACAGACUUCACACAUUUAUGCCAAGGGAAUAUUCCGCUGAUGUGAUGCCAUACUAAUGUAUUAUUCGCGACCAUACAACUUUUUUGUUUGUCAUCGGGAAAAUGACGCCGCAGUUUGAUUUUUUGUGGUGAUAUAAAAUAAAUUUUCUUGCUAGGGAAUGUUCAUUUUGAAUUAAGCAUUUUCAAAUGUCAGCGUAGAAUAUGCUUAUCUGCCCAUUUUGUUUCUUUCCAUAAUAAUGAGUAAAGUUAACAUUGUCAUAGACAUUUUAUUAUAUUCGUUUGCCGUCCAAGUCAAAUGUCACACUAUAUCGCACGUAAUUAUAUUUUUUUACUAAUUUGUUAGUUAUCAUUUUAUUUAAGUUACAAAUAACAGUAAUAAAAAAAUAUUACUUAAUAGUCCAGAAUAGAGAUUGAGUUAUUAUUCAUUUAAUAGGGGUUUAAAAUAUGAUACUACAUACAUAUUUAUAUUAUCUUGUUGUCUUCUUUGUAACUUUACUGGAAGAAUGGCAUUUGGUAUGUAUGUUAACUCACAAUGAAAAUACUUCAGAAGUACUCAAUUAACAGUGAACAACCUAGGGCCUAUACUAAUUUCAUUAUGUUCAUGAAAUAUUAUUGAAAUUACUAAUAAAGAACUGUGUUUCAUGUAGAGAUAUCGUACGAACUGUAUGUGGUACAGACCAACAUUUGCUAAGACUCUGUAAAUAAUUAAUUUCAGUUAAUGUGUAGAGAAUAUUAAAAAUUAGAAAUAAUGAUAUAUAUAAAACAAUGCAAAGUGAUCAGCAUAAAAAUAGAAGUUAUUUUUACGUAGCGCCUACUGGAAUGAGUAUUUUGUGUUGAAUUAUGUGGCAUGAUUAAUAUUCUCUUAUGGUAAGCGUGUUUUGUUAAAAUCUUAUAAAACAUAACUUACCUACUGUUGAAUGAUUUUCAUUUUUUUGUGAUGAUCUUACUUAAACAAGUUUUAAUUAUAUUACAUAUGUGUAUUUUAAAAGCAUUUUAAUGUAUACUUAUAGAAUUUUAAUAGGCUUUAUACGGACUCUCACGAUGCAUGUGAGCAUCUAUAUUUAUUAGAGACCGGAAAAAUUCGCGGAUUCAUUCGGCGAUAGGCUAGAAGUCAAAUACAUAUACCUUUUAGAUGAUUUUGCUAUUGGCUUACUGUUCAUCUGGACGAAUCUCAACCAAUUAUGAACCUCCAACCAAAGAAGGAUCGAAUCACAGACAAACCAGCUGAGACAACUAACAAGUCAGCAGCAAAUGAACUGGCGUUAUUUGCCCGAGCGUACAGGGGAAUGUGCAGUCUAUCCUGAAGGCCGUCGAAACCGCGAAUUUUUCCGGUCCCUAAUCUACAUCAAUAUUAUGGCCGUUUGACAAGAUCAAAUAUUUAUUGAAUUCAAUCAGUUGCAUUCAUUGUACAUGAUUUUCGAUAUGUACAUUGAAUUCAAUAUAAAUUGAAGAUGUUACUCAACUAAGCUUAUUCUUAUUAACUUAUAAGUAUUUUGUUUGUUCAGUACAUAAAAGUAAAAGAUUCUUUAUUAUUUAAAUAAUGAGCAUCUAUAAGCAAUAACGUUUUCAAAAUAUUUACAUAAACAUAAUGGAAUAUAUUUUUUAAAUACUUUAUAUCUACGAUAACAUCAACGGCAGUAUUGUGUAAUCAAUGAGGUAAUGAAAUAUCUUAAAAGGAUAUUUUCUCCUCUGUAAAGUAAAUUUGUAAUGCAGCCCUCUUAAUGUUAGUCUUGUGAGUUAUUUCGUCUUCUAAUAUGCUACAGCAAUAUAUAAAAUUAAGUUUUGUUAGUGUUUUAGUCUUGUGUAAUGUUAAAGUGUAAUGUAAUAAAUUCAAUAAUUUUUUUGUAAAUUCGUAUUCAUAAAGGUAGGCUACAUAUCGUAAUAAGAUAAAUAGUAAUAUUUGUAAAUUUAAAUUCUUUGAAACAACGUCGAUAAGAGGUUCUCCUACCUCUGUUAAACUGUAUGAUGGUGCAUUGUAAAAAAUUAGGUAGUCUGACUUAAGUGAGAUUGUAUUUAGAUUGUGUGUGAUGCAUAUGCAAUAUCUAAGCAUAUGCAUUUAUGUUAUUAUCCUUUUAAAACGUUACAUGAUGAAUUUCGUAUACUUUUUAAUGUCAACUAACAUUUUUCCCGGAAUAUUACAUCCAGAUAAAUAAUAAUUACCACAUGUUUGAAGAUUAAUUGUAUUCCGAUACGUUUAAAGUAUUAAAAUUUUUAGAUACGACUGAUACUACAGUUGUAAAUGUGAGGUUUCUUGACUCUGAAUCCCUGCAUCCGCAAUUUCCUAGUGAGCCGCCGGUCAGAUUGUCAUCCUCUCAGAUUGUCGAGGAACCAGAUACAUUUUUCGUCGAGUAAACUCGAGCUGUCAACCUUCCCACUAAUCCUGUGAUAAGGGUAUAGUAGCUUUAUCACGCGCUGCGGCUACAGUUCCUUCGGUUGAAAAAGCCAAUAAAUCUCACUGUUAAAAGAGAGAACUUCUAGAGCAGAAUAUUGGAAAUAAACAUUUACUGACACGGCCUCUUAAAUUAGUUUUUUCCACUUAUUUAGAAUAGGUCUUAACUUAAAAAUUGAGAAAGAAGAAUAAAGUGCUUCACAAUAUAUAGCAAAUAUAUGAAGCGACCCGAUUUCCCAACAGUAUGCAGUGACUCGUUUUACCCCAAUGGCAGCGACCCGAGUUACCCCAUUUCGCACUUUAAAAAAAAGAAAAAUAUUAUAAAUUCUGUCAAACAUAUAGAGCUUCAGUAAUGCAGAAGAAUGUUAAUUGGGUACAUAUUUUCGUACUCCAUUACUUAAACUACAAUACUAUUUCGAAAUGCGAACGUAAAGGCUUAUUUGAAACAAAAUAAAACUUACAUUGUUAAGAAUUUUCCACUUCAGGACUGCACAGGUUCGGGUUCAUGUCGCACAGACUACCAGAAUGUUGUUACAGACGAUAUUCGCCUUGUAGUGGACGGUUGUAUAGACAGAUAACAGCACUCUUUGGUAGGUUCCGUAGACUCCAGUUCAUUCUUUCGCCACAAGACAGCAGAUCUUGUUACGAUGACCCGGUUUACCCCGUGACCCGAUUUUCCCCGGUCUACCCUAUUGUGUUAAACUUUGUCUGUGCAAGAUCCUCAUUCUCCCAAUAGCGUACACACACACACACACACACACUGAAGUUUGAAGUCAGUGAAAGAAAGUGUAAAAACAAUUAGCAUUAGUAAACUUGGCUAAGUUAUGCAUUGUUUUAUGUAACAUGUGUGUGUUUUAUCCACUUAUUAAGGUGAUUUCAUUCUACAGCUCCAGCAGUGUCCCAGAACUGUUUGUUGGGGAAACUUACCAUGGUUGCACUCAAGAAAGCAGCCGACAAAGAACGACCAUCAACUCAAAAGCUAUUUUACAGCCCCCUAGACCCAUGGGCCCCGUUGCCAUAGCAACGCUAGCACCGGCCAUGUGGGGGCCCUGGCCGCACACACAGCCGUGCCAGUGCUGCCGAGACGAGCGCUGCAAGUACUCUGACGCAUGCACGUUUUGGAACGGUGGCCAUCGAACAUCAAUGCAGUUUCAACGAGAACUCCAAACUGGAGGAUCAAGAUGAGGAAUGAGAUAGUGCAAGCAAGAACAUUUGAGUACAGGACUUGAACGAUAUAAUAGAAAAGCAAGAAUGUGAUGAUAUGGUCAUGCAAAGAGAAUGGGAAAAGGUAGGCUGCCUAGGAAAAUGAUGGCGUUGAAGUACAAAGGAAGAAGGCCCCAAGAAAGAUCAAGGAGAAGGUGGUAAGAGCAGAUAGUUAAAGGAGUGCAGGAGAGAGGAGAAGAAUGGAACAGGUGAAGAAGGGGGAAAGGUGAAGUGACAGAGGAAGAUGGAGUCGUUUUACUUUGCUGACCCAGUCGCAGGCUGUAAGUAGUUGAGGGUGAAGAUGCCAUAAGAAAAAUAAUUAAUAUACAGUACAAUUUGUACAAGUUGUAAUAAGCUGCUCUAUUAAAAGAAAAACCAAAUAUGACCAUUGGGUGUUCUUAAAAAAAAAAUCACUACAGAAAUGCACCCAUGAAUUGUGAAAUAUGACCCUUGAGGAAACAGGAAACAUGUUACAAUGCAAAUACUUUGAAAAAAUAAACUUAAAUACCACAGAAAAUA